AGAGACAGAGGGAGAGACAGAGACAGAGGAACAGAGAAACAGGGAGGAAAGAGGUGCCCCAGGCUGGCCCAGGUCCAAGGGGUGGGGACGGGGAUGGCGGAUGGUCUGGACACAGGGCGGAGGUGCUACCUGGACCCCGAGGGCCAGCGAGGGAGAGGAGUCUGGGCUGAGGUGGGGAGCAGCCCAGGGCUCUGGCCUGGGUGUGUCCGGAGUGGGGCCCCCUCCCCACAGGAGCCCUGGUGUGGGGCAGGGUCCCCGCCCCACCACAGGCCCCCCUGAGGGGUGUACCUAGGGCUUCCUCCGGGCAGCUCUCUCUGGAAGCUUCCACAGGAACCCAGACCCGGACCGCCUUCCCUGUGGUGGCCAAGGCCCCCACCCCUGCAACCGAGCCUCAGCCCCAGAUCAGGUCUCGGGGCUCUGAGCCCCAGCUUCCCCGUCUGUGAAACGUGAUCGCGGUAGCCAACUCCACGGCUAUCUGCCGUGAAGAUAUCUGGAACGUGUACGUGGGCGAGAGAAGGCCAGGUGCCUGAGAGCUAGGCCUGAGCAACCAGGGUCCCCACAACAGGGACAGGGGCUCCAGCCAGGCCCCAGAGCUCGCUUGGGCCCCGCAGCAAAGCAGUACUUUCUGCCCUGCCCUGGGGUGCAGCGGAGUGCCCCGAGGCCGGGUGCCCGGGCGCCACCCACGGGCUCUCCGGGCUCUGCCCUCCUAGGUGGGGGGCCGGAAUUGGGGUGUGGAAUGCGGGGCACAGACAUAGACCCAGCAUGAGGUGGGGGGCUCCUGCCACAGCCCCCAUGAGGCUGCGGGCCCUCGUGCUCCCCUGCCUCCCCCCGCUUCCCCUGCUCCCUCCUGCCCCCUCUUUCCCCCUCCCGCCCCCCUAGAAUCAGCUCCUGCACUCUAAGGCCAAGGGUCUCAGUGCCAGGAGUCCCACCCGACCCGCCUUGACCCCGACCCUGUCCCCCCACUGCAGCCCACCGGGCCCACAUCCGCCCCAGGGCCUUGGCGCUCUGGAUGCUCCCCCUGCCCGGCUCCCUGCAGCGUCCACCAGGCCACGGUCCCCCAUGGUCAAGUGGUGACGUGAGCACACAGGGCUGCCCGUUGCCCGCCCCUCUGCUCCCCUCUCUACUUUCCUUCCCUGGUUGGUGGCAUCAUUUCCUUCCGAGGUGCGGUUCAUCCUGCUAUUUCUCUAACUGCUUUUCUUCUCUCUUCCCCCGAAGGCCCGAGGCUGCCUGGGCUCUCACGGUUGGCCAGAUGAAGGGGUCCCGCGGCUGUCCCCAGAUGGGUGCAUCCAGGGAGGUGGCCGGACAGGCACCUGGGCCUCCGUCCCCAGCUUCGCUUGCCCAGGGGCCACGGGAGCCCCGCAGCCAUGCUCAGUGGUCUUCGUGGCAGGAAGUGCCAGGCAGUUCCGGUGAACAGGGGACAGGGGACAUGUAAAUCACAGGACACGUGUCCAUCCGCUGCUUGUGUCAUCGGUCAGGCUUCCAGGCAGCAGGACACUGCGAGGAGGGAAGUUUUCAGAUGCCAGAAGUUGCACGUGGGAUCUCUACUGCAGGGUCUGUGCACAAGGGCCGAGGGUCACCUGGAUAAGUGUGCACGUGCGUGAGUGACACACGCACCCUCACUGCCUCACUGCUUGAAGUUAUACUGUCUGUGCAUGAUUUUUAUUUCCCUUUUAUUAAAUUAAAAAAUUUUUAAACUGAAUGUAUAGUUUCACUCAUUUCAUUUUUUUCACCUUCUAUUAAAUUUUUCUUUCCGAUGCCAUGUUUGAUGUGGAACACGAGAAGUAUUCAGUGUGUUGGGAGUAUCUUCCGCGAUUAUAGCAAAUUUCCCGAAUGUGGCUCAUCCCCGCGGUGUCCAUUUUCCCUGAGAUAAAUGUAUUUGUACGUA